AUAGCUAAGUUCAAGCAUCGUAACAGUUCUUAUCAGUUCAAUAUCUGAUGUGUCUUCAAACAGAAAACUUUCUAAUAAACAGAUUUUGGGACUCAGGAGUUGGAUCUGGAGCUUACUCUUUUCACUCUGCACUGUUCUGAAGGUGAACGUGGCAUUAAGGGACAUAGUUUU
rnacentral:snRNA from 1 species